UACGUAGGGUGCGAGCGUUAAUCGGAAUUAUUGGGCGUAAAGCGCGCGCAGGCGGUCUCUUAAGUCUGAUGUGAAAUCCCGUGGCUUAACCACGGGCGGUCAUUGGAAACUGGGGGACUUGAGUGCAGAAGAGAAGAGCGGAAUUCCACGUGUAGCGGUGAAAUGCGUAGAGAUGUGGAGGAACACCAGUGGCGAAGGCGGCUCUUUGGUCUGUAACUGACGCUGAGGCGCGAAAGUGUGGGGAGCGAACAGG
rnacentral:rRNA from 1 species